rnacentral:rRNA from 1 species
GACGAACGCUGGCGGCGUGCUUAACACAUGCAAGUCGAACGGAAAGGCCCUGCUUGCAGGGUACUCGAGUGGCGAACGGGUGAGUAACACGUGGGUGAUCUGCCCUGCACUUCGGGAUAAGCUUGGGAAACUGGGUCUAAUACCGGAUAGGACCGCACUUUAGUGUGUGUGGUGGAAAGUUUUUUCGGUGUAGGAUGAGCUCGCGGCCUAUCAACUUGUUGGUGGGGUAAUGGCCUACCAAGGCGGCGACGGGUAGCCGGCCUGAGAGGGUGUACGGCCACAUUGGGACUGAGAUACGGCCCAGACUCCUACGGGAGGCAGCAGUGGGGAAUAUUGCACAAUGGGCGCAAGCCUGAUGCAGCGACGCCGCGUGGGGGAUGAAGGCCUUCGGGUUGUAAACUCCUUUCGCUAGGGACGAAGCUUUUUGUGACGGUACCUAGAUAAGAAGCACCGGCUAACUACGUGCCAGCAGCCGCGGUAAUACGUAGGGUGCGAGCGUUGUCCGGAAUUACUGGGCGUAAAGGGCUCGUAGGUGGUUUGUCGCGUCGUCUGUGAAAUUCUGGGGCUUAACUCCGGGCGUGCAGGCGAUACGGGCAUAACUUGAGUGCUGUAGGGGUAACUGGAACUCCUGGUGUAGCGGUGAAAUGCGCAGAUAUCAGGAGGAACACCGAUGGCGAAGGCAGGUUACUGGGCAGUUACUGACGCUGAGGAGCGAAAGCAUGGGUAGCGAACAGGAUUA